GGGUGUGUCGUAUAGCGGCAAUUACAUGGGUCUGUAAAACCCACGCCUCCGGGCUACGCAGGUUCGAGUCCUGCCGCACCCA
rnacentral:tRNA from 1 species